GACGAACGCUGGCGGCGUGCUUAACACAUGCAAGUCGAACGGAAAGGCCCUGCUUUUGUGGGGUGCUCGAGUGGCGAACGGGUGAGUAACACGUGAGUAACCUGCCCUUGACUUUGGGAUAACUUCAGGAAACUGGGGCUAAUACCGGAUAGGAGCUCCUGCUGCAUGGUGGGGGUUGGAAAGUUUCGGCGGUUGGGGAUGGACUCGCGGCUUAUCAGCUUGUUGGUGGGGUAGUGGCUUACCAAGGCUUUGACGGGUAGCCGGCCUGAGAGGGUGAACGGCGACAUGGGGACUGCGAGACGGACCAGAGUGCUACGGGAGGCAGCAGGGGGGAAUAUGGCACAAUGGGCGGAAGUCUGAUGCAGCAGCGUUGCGUGCGGAAUGACGGCUUUCGGGGUGUAAACCGCUGUCGCCUGUGACGAAGCGUGAGUGACGGUAACGGGUAAAGAAGCACCGGCUAACUACGUG
rnacentral:rRNA from 1 species